rnacentral:rRNA from 1 species
UGGGGAAUUUUGGACAAUGGGCGCAAGCCUGAUCCAGCAAUGCCGCGUGCAGGAUGAAGGCCUUCGGGUUGUAAACUGCUUUUGUACGGAGCGAAAAGGUCUACCCUAAUACGGUGGGCUCAUGACGGUACCGUAAGAAUAAGCACAGGCUAACUACGUGCCAGCAGCCGCGGUAAUACGUAGGGUGCGAGCGUUAAUCGGAAUUACUGGGCGUAAAGCGUGCGCAGGCGGUUAUAUAAGACAGAGGUGAAAUCCCCGGGCUCAACCUGGGAACUGCCUUUGUGACUGCAUAGCUAGAGUACAGUAGAGGGGGAUGGAAUUCCGCGUGUAGCAGUGAAAUGCGUAGAUAUGCGGAGGAACACCGAUUGCGAAGGCAAUCCCCUGGACCUGUACUGACGCUCAUGCACGAAAGCGUGGGUAGCAAACA